UUUACGAUUGGAACCUUGCUU
rnacentral:piRNA from 1 species